rnacentral:rRNA from 1 species
CCUACGGGACGCACCAGUGGGGAAUAUUGCACAAUGGGCGCAAGCCUGAUGCAGCCAUGCCGCGUGCGUGGAGAAGGCCUUCGGGUUGUAAAGCACUUUCAGCGAGGCGGAAGGUGGUGAACUUAAUACGUUCAUCAAUUGACGUUACUCGCAGAAGAAGCACCGGCUAACUCCGUGCCAGCAGCCGCGGUAAUAUGGAGGGUGCAAGCGUUAAUCGGAAUUACUGGGCGUAAAGCGCACGCAGGCGGUUUGUUAAGUCAGAUGUGAAAUCCCCGGGCUCAACCUGGGAACUGCAUUUGAAACUGGCAAGCUAGAGUCUCGUAGAGGGGGGUAGAAUUCCAGGUGUAGCGGUGAAAUGCGUAGAGAUCUGGAGGAAUACCGGUGGCGAAGGCGGCCCCCUGGACGAAGACUGACGCUCAGGUGCGAAAGCGUGGGGAGCAAACAGGAUUAGAUACCCGAGUAGUC